rnacentral:rRNA from 1 species
GACAUAGGUGGCAAACGUUAUCCGGAAUUACUGGGCGUAAAGGGCUUGUAGGUGGCCAACUAAGUCAGACGUGAAAUCCCCAGGCUUAACCUGGGAACUGCGUCUGAUACUGGAUGGCUUGAAUUCGGGAGAGGGAUGCAGAAUUCCAGGUGUAGCGGUGAAAUGCGUAGAUAUCUGGAGGAAUGACCGGUGGCGAAGGCGGCAUCCGUGGACCGAGUAUUGACACUGAUGAGCGAAAGCGUGGGGAGCGAACGAGG